rnacentral:rRNA from 1 species
CUUAACACAUGCAAGUCGAACGGAAAGGCCCUGCUUUUGUGGGGUGCUCGAGUGGCGAACGGGUGAGUAACACGUGAGUAACCUGCCCUUGACUUUGGGAUAACUUCAGGAAACUGGGGCUAAUACCGGAUAGGAGCUCCUGCUGCAUGGUGGGGGUUGGAAAGUUUCGGCGGUUGGGGAUGGACUCGCGGCUUAUCAGCUUGUUGGUGGGUUAGUGGCUUACCAAGGCUUUGACGGGUAGCCGGCCUGAGAGGGUGACCGGCCACAUUGGGACUGAGAUACGGCCCAGACUCCUACGGGAGGCAGCAGUGGGGAAUAUUGCACAAUGGGCGGAAGCCUGAUGCAGCAACGCCGCGUGCGGGAUGACGGCCUUCGGGUUGUAAACCGCUUUCGCCUGUGACGAAGCGUGAGUGACGGUAAUGGGUAAAGAAGCACCGGCUAACUACGUGCCAGCAGCCGCGGUGAUACGUAGGGUGCGAGCGUUGUCCGGAUUUAUUGGGCGUAAAGGGCUCGUAGGUGGUUGAUCGCGUCGGAAGUGUAAUCUUGGGGCUUAACCCUGAGCGUGCUUUCGAUACGGGUUGACUUGAGGAAGGUAGGGGAGAAUGGAAUUCCUGGUGGAGCGGUGGAAUGCGCAGAUAUCAGGAGGAACACCAGUGGCGAAGGCGGUUCUCUGGGCCUUUCCUGACGCUGAGGAGCGAAAGCGUGGGGAGCGAACAGGCUUAGAUACCCUGGUAGUCCACGCUGUAAACGGUGGGUACUAGGUGUGGGGUCCAUUCCACGGGUUCCGUGCCGUAGCUAACGCUUUAAGUACCCCGCCUGGGGAGUACGGCCGCAAGGCUAAAACUCAAAGGAAUUGACGGGGCCCCGCACAAGCGGCGGAGCAUGCGGAUUAAUUCGAUGCAACGCGUAGAACCUUACCUGGGUUUGACAUGGAUCGGGAGUGCUCAGAGAUGGGUGUGCCUCUUUUGGGGUCGGUUCACAGGUGGUGCAUGGCUGUCGUCAGCUCGUGUCGUGAGAUGUUGGGUUAAGUCCCGCAACGAGCGCAACCCUUGUUCACUGUUGCCAGCACGUUAUGGUGGGGACUCAGUGGAGACCGCCGGGGUCAACUCGGAGGAAGGUGGGGAUGACGUCAAGUCAUCAUGCCCCUUAUGUCCAGGGCUUCACGCAUGCUACAAUGGCUGGUACAGAGAGUGGCGAGCCUGUGAGGGUGAGCGAAUCUCGGAAAGCCGGUCUCAGUUCGGAUUGGGGUCUGCAACUCGACCUCAUGAAGUCGGAGUCGCUAGUAAUCGCAGAUCAGCAACGCUGCGGUGAAUACGUUCCCGGGGCUUGUACACACCGCCCGUCAAGUCAUGAAAGUUGGUAACACCCGAAGCCGGUGGCCUAACCGUUGUGGGGGAGCCGUCGAAGGUGGGACUGGUGAUUAGGACUAAGA